CGGGCGAGGUUGCUUCGGUAACUGAGCUAGCGGCGGACGGGUGAGUAAAGCUUAGGAAUCUGCCUAUUAGUGGGGGACAACAUUCCGAAAGGGAUGCUAAUACCGCAUACGUCCUACGGGAGAAAGCAGGGGAUCACUUGUGACCUUGCGCUAAUAGAUGAGCCUAAGUCGGAUUAGCUAGUUGGUGGGGUAAAGGCCUACCAAGGCGACGAUCUGUAGCGGGUCUGAGAGGAUGAUCCGCCACACUGGGACUGAGACACGGCCCAGACUCCUACGGGAGGCAGCAGUGGGGAAUAUUGGACAAUGGGGGGAACCCUGAUCCAGCCAUGCCGCGUGUGUGAAGAAGGCCUUUUGGUUGUAAAGCACUUUAAGCGAGGAGGAGGCUUACCUGGUUAAUACCUGGGAUAAGUGGACGUUACUCGCAGAAUAAGCACCGGCUAACUCUGUGCCAGCAGCCGCGGUAAUACAGAGGGUGCGAGCGUUAAUCGGAUUUACUGGGCGUAAAGCGCGCGUAGGUGGUUAAUUAAGUCAAAUGUGAAAUCCCCGAGCUUAACUUGGGAAUUGCAUUCGAUACUGGUUAGCUAGAGUAUGGGAGAGGAUGGUAGAAUUCCAGGUGUAGCGGUGAAAUGCGUAGAGAUCUGGAGGAAUACCGAUGGCGAAGGCAGCCAUCUGGCCUAAUACUGACACUGAGGUGCGAAAGCAUGGGGAGCAAACAGGAUUAGAUACCCUGGUAGUCCAUGCCGUAAACGAUGUCUACUAGCCGUUGGGGGAUUUGAUCCUUUAGUGGCGCAGCUAACGCGAUAAGUAGACCGCCUGGGGAGUACGGUCGCAAGACUAAAACUCAAAUGAAUUGACGGGGGCCCGCACAAGCGGUGGAGCAUGUGGUUUAAUUCGAUGCAACGCGAAGAACCUUACCUGGCCUUGACAUAGUAGAGACUUUCCAGAGAUGGAUUGGUGCCUUCGGGAAUCUACAUACAGGU
rnacentral:rRNA from 1 species